UACGAUGCCACACUCUCUCUAGAUUCAAACCGGCUACCUUCAGGUCAGCAACCCAACCUUCAGGUCAGCAGUCUUGAUGGCACAAAGUUUAACUCAUUGCAAUAUGGUGAGAUACGUUCCCAUGGAACCAUGUUGUUUGGCUGUGAUUGAUCUUACCAUUUUAAAAAAUGUUUACCAACAGCUUUACUCACAAUAAGUGUUGUGUGGAAGGAAGAGUUUGGCAUUUUUUUCAGAGUGAUUUCACACAUCUGUGUUACUUUGCUUGUUUUGAAUCCACAUGUCACCCUUCUCCCUAUCUUUCCUUUUUUUCCUUACUUCUUUUAUUCCAAAAAAACCCAGCAUUUUGGAGUGCCUAAAAAAUAACAUAAAGUCACAACAAAAGCUAAAUGGAUCAGCAAAUGGGAGCAGUGACGGAAAGCAAACCACAGCAUUGGGUGAAAAGCAGCAGGAAAGAGAGAACAAUGAUAUGAGAUACUUUUUUCCUCCGGUGCUUUCUAGGAAGAACACUUAAUAAAAUAUCUGGGGAGAAAGCAUUCCACAAUUUUGGUACGAUGGCCAAAAAAACUCCUCUUGAAUGUUUUCCCUUUUUUCUUCUGAAGCUGGACGCUACUGAAGAAGCUGUGAGAGAUCAGGCAAAGUCACGAUGUGCCAAAAGAAAGACAUGUGAUACUUUGCUGUUGCUGAAAACAAACAAGACAAGACAUUCAGUUGAUGUCUUAACUCCAAUGCCGUUGAGGAAUUCCCCAGCAGACAGUUCUGAUGGAAAAGACCAAGGGUCAGUACAACAGAAAUUUUCUAGAUGCAAGGAGGAAGAGAAGAAAUGA
rnacentral:lncRNA from 11 species